GUGUAACGGAGGCGCCCAAAGGUUCCCUCAGAAUGGUUGGAAAUCAUUCGUAGAGUGCAAAGGCAUAAGGGAGAUUGACUGCGAGACCUACAAGUCGAGCAGGGACGAAAGUCGGGCUUAGUGAUCCGGUGGUUCCGCAUGGAAGGGCCAACGCUCAACGGAUAAAAGCUACCCCGCGGAUAACAGGCUUAUCUCCCCCAAGAGUCCACAUCGACGGGGAGGGUUGGCACCUCGAUGUCGGCUCAUC
rnacentral:rRNA from 1 species